AUGUUAGGUGACGCGAUGCUGCGCAGCUUCCCUCAGGCCCGUCCGCUCCUCAGGAGGAUGGGGUUCGACAAGAGGGAUGCCUACUUCUUUAAGCAGAUUGGCAAGGGCAUGCUCUGCACCUACGCGCUUUUCGGCGCAGCAUGGCUCUGGAAUGAGACGUCGCCGCUUGGUUGGUGGACGCUCAAGCCACUCCCCAAGGAAGAAAAAGAAAUGGCACAUCUUUAUGAGCGCAGGGAGUUUCCCUACCCUGGUGAUGAAGAGGCAGUUGAGGAGUUCAUAAAAAGUGAGGGUGCUCUAGGUACCACGAUCGGGCCCAAAGGUUUUGCGGAUACAAAUGUGGACUCUGAUAAAAUGCAGAAGCAACUACAGUCGAAAAAGUUUGACCAGGAGGCACAAAACCUCUGGUUCCGAAUGAGGAAUGAGGUUGCACAUGAACUACAAGAGAAGGGAUUUGGUGUUGAAUGA
rnacentral:rRNA from 1 species